rnacentral:lncRNA from 1 species
AGAAGCUGCAGCAUCUGUUUAGAUGUUGUUGCUCGUCCUGUCCGAGCACCUCCUCUCUGGUUUUAUGAUCGGCUCCUCAAUCACCCGCCUUGUGCAGUCCUUCUCCGUUGUAUUCCUCUACUGGUUUUAUGUCUUCUCAGUAGCCUCCCUGUAGUUAGUUGUAAAUUUUGCAAUUAACUAAGCUUUCUCUAUAGGAUAUAAUUAAGGUAGUAACAAAGGGGUACGUAUACGUGACAAAUAAGAGUGCGAAACAGCUGAGAGUACACGAGAGGUGGUGAGACGUCACCAUGUCAAGUGGGACCUCAUCUGGAUCGAGUUUGGGGACCCGGAGCUCCAGGUCGGAGGAUGACCUGGACCUCCAGGCCCAGAUGGAGAGGAGGAGGAAGCGGAGGAAGGAGUCGAACCGGGAGUCGGCUCGGAGGUCUAGGCUGCGAAAGCAGCAGCAUCUCGACGACCUCACCUCACAGGUAUACAUAUGUGCUAUUUAUGUCCAAACAUAAGUCUAUCGUAGUUCAUGAUGGAAGCAUUGAUCCAAUGAUUUUGUCCAAUCGUCUCAAUUAUUCUACUUUUUUAUUCAUGUAGGCUUGCACUGAUGUGCAGGUGAAAAAAGCAAAACAGAUGUGAACAAAGGGCCACUUGAAAUAUCUGGCCAAACAAGCUCAAUAAUUGUACUGCCUUUUCCCUAAAGGCCCCACAAAAUCAUCUGUUGCUUGCUAGCUAAUUCACUGAAGAAAGCUAUAAAUAAAUAAAAUCCACCAUCAUGAUUUGCUCUUAUCAUUUUUUUUACCAAAGUCACCUGCAUAAAAAUGAGAAAAAGGUUAAGAGUCAUAUUGCUAAGAGGUAUAGUAUCAUGUCGUAAAACAGGUAAAGCAGCUGAAGGACCAGAACAAGCAGCUCAGCAUGGCACUAAGCAUAACCAGCCAAAACCUUGUGGCAGUGCAAGCACAAAACUCUGUUCUGCAGACCCAGAAGAUGGAGCUGGACAGCAGGCUGGGUGCCC